AUCUCAGUAGCGUAGUGGUUAGCGCUCGAGCCCUUGUUAGGCGCGAGACGCGGGCUCGAAUCCUGCCUGAGAUG
rnacentral:tRNA from 1 species